rnacentral:lncRNA from 1 species
GAACCUUGUGCAGGCUGAACGUACAGAUGCCAUAUCAGUUACUCUCUCACUCUUGUUAGACAAAGCUUCAGUUAAUGCAUGUCCAAUUCUAAGACACUCUACCUCUCUGGAAAACUUCCCAGGAACUCAAUUUGAAUCUAUUUACAUGGAAUAAGACUGUAGAUAUUUUACUCUUUAAGUGGAAGGUUCAAAAAAAAAUCACUGUAGAACUACACAUGCAUAUAUUUUAUGUGUGUGUGUGUGUGUGUGUGUGUGUGUGUGUGUGUGUAAGGGGUAAGGGGCUGUGUUUCAUCAAAACUCUUUACUUUCUUCCUGAUAUUUGGAGACUUAUCUGACCUACCCAGAGACUGCCACUCCAAAAUAUGGUGACAGUGCUUUUAUUUAUUUAAUUUAAAGGAUUACCUAGAAACCGGCAGGUGCUAGAAGAGGCUUUCUGACAGCUUUUCAUUAUCAUGUUCCAGUUUUGAUUAACUUUCCUGAAGUGAAUUCUCAUUGUGAUGCUGGGCUAGCGAGUCCUGGGCAAGGGGCCUCGUCCCAUGCUAGCUGAGCUACGUUGCAGCACAAAGGACCUGGGGUGCACUUCUGAUCUCUGCUGAGCUUUCUCUUAAUGAAACUCACAUGGUGGCUACACAAAAGAAAGAUGAAGUCUGUGAUACACCCACACAGGCUACCAUUUUCUAUUUCAGUCCUGGUCAGUGUUCAAGGGGGGAAGUGUUCCUGUUGGAAAGAAUCACUUACAAUCUUUUGUCUGUUCUGUGAGCCUGAGGCCUUAGCGUUUUCCACUUUCUUCCCCAUGGGACAGGAGAAUCUUCAUUGUGAAAUCACACAACUUCCUCCAUGUCCCUGAUGUUCUCGUCUCUUCCCAUUGUACCCAUAUGUUAACAGUUCAUUGCAGUGAAUCUUUAGAAGGUAGAGAGAAGCCCUUCCUUUGUUCAUCUUUAAUAUGUGGCUUUUUGGUGGUGGUGGUGGUGGUGGUGGUGGUAAGCAUGCAUACAUAAUGAAUAGAAAGACUUCUUUGUGUAAGUGAGGGGCUCAAAGCUUAGUUAAUUCAGUAGGCUUUGUGUAAUAUCAGACAGAGGUUGAGAAUACUCACCUUGGCAAGGGGGCUCGGAGGUGGUCUCUAGCCUCCACAGAAUCACAAACCUGUGACUUCCCUGGGACAGUUAAGUACAUCAUAGCACAUUGUUAUUAUUAUUAUUUUUUUUUUUUUGCACUGCCUUUCUUAUCGGAUUG